AGCCACAAGUUCAUUCUCACACGAAAGUAAACAAUUUAUUAUAAUUAAAUGGUCAUGGUAACCACAACGCAGCAACGAUCCCAAGGAAGGAAAGAGAAGUGUUGGAGAAAGUUGAAGCAUUAGGAAGAAGAAGUGAGGAAAGGUCAUUAAAGAGAAAGUUGAGAGAGCGUUGGGUUGGCAUUUAAAGCUUAUGCGCCUAAAAAACAAUAAAGGAUUUUGACCCAACUAAGUCUUUCUCAGUCUCUCUUUCUCACAGAACAUGGCAAACGACGCCGCUCUCAGAACCUCUCUGCUAUGGCUGGCAGCGGUUAUAUUGGCGGUUGGUGUAUGCACCCACUCUUUGAAGAAAAUGAUGGUCACCUAUGUCUUGGGUGUUAUUGGAAUUUCUGCACUUCUCCUUCCUGAUUGGGAUUACUUCAACCGUGAUUUCUCUCGUUGGCCUUAUCCUGUUACUGCUCAAGAAAGGGCCAAUUCUGUACAAGCCCAAGGAUCUGGAUUUCUAAGGUUUGCGAAUUCUCCUCUAAGGGUGAUUGUGUAUAGCGUGGUUUAUGGAUAUGUUAUGUACAAAUGGUGGGUGUAUGUAUCAAGCUAAUGAUUGACGACUUUGUUUAGCAGCAGCAACUGCUGAUUCUUCUGAACCCCCAAUUUUAGCUGAAAUUAUGGAUCUAUGCUUUGAAGACAAAAGACCAAGUGUAAGAGAAGUUCAAAGAGUUUCAUGCCUUAGUUGAUAGGUAGUCAAGUAAGAAGUUGAAGCACAUUCGUACUGAUAAUGGUGGUGGGUAUUGCAGAAUGUUGGAUGUUUAUUACUGUAGGCAACAUGGUAUUGCACAUGAGAAAACUCCUCCUAAAACUCCUUAGCUAGAUGGUUUAGUAAAGAGGAUGAACAAAAUAUUGAUUGAGAGAGUGAGAUGUAUGCUCUUUGAGGCUAAGUUAUCUAAGCAUUUUUGGGGUGAAACAUUGUACACGAUGAUGCUAUUGCUUUGAACAAUGAGGUGUCAAAUAAAAUUAGGUUUGGCAAGAAUGUCAAGUAUGAUCACUUAAGAGUUUUCAAUUGUAAGGAAUUUUUGCAUGUUGCAAAGGAUGAGAAAUCCAAGUUGGAUGCAAAGACAAGACAAUGUAUUUUUAUUGGUUAUGGUGAUGAUGAAUUUGGUUAUAGAUUUUAUGAUCUUGUUAAAAAGAAGUUUGUUAGAAGUCGUGAUGUGAAAUUUAUGAAAGACUAAACCAUUAAAGACAUGGAUAAGGUGGAGAAGUCUACACCCAAGGGAGAUAGUGGCAUGGCUUACGUUGAUCCAAUUCAUAAUCUAGAUACUGUUGAGAUUUGCAGGCAAUCGCACCAA